rnacentral:lncRNA from 1 species
UUGCCUACCAUUGCUUUAUGAAUUUCUCUUCUAGAUACUGUGUUUUGGGAAGUCCCAGACAGAACUGGCAAGAAACUAUGGGGCAAACCCUUUUUCCACUAGAAAAGAUUUGUGGGGACAGGUCCAAAAAGGCCCUGCUUAGGUUGGGUUAGGUGUCACCUGCCACCUUGUCCACCUGCCUGGCUCCUGACUACCACACACAGGAGCUGUCAGACUCCUUGGCAGCCCCCAGCACGGAUGGCCACCAAGCCCUGAUCCUCCUGCCCCAGGGCCAUGGGGCUGCCCCCUCCCACAGCCUGCUAGGCUCCCGGGGCUGCUGCCGGAGGGGCUGCAGGUGCUAAGCUUUCACAGGUUGCUGUGCGUGUGUGAAGAGAAGCUCUUGUGGCAGCUGAUAGAAGCAUUAUCCGAAAUCAAAUGCAAUGCCCCCGAAGGAAAGAACAGAGCCGUGACAGCUGCCACAACCCUUCACAGCUAGCACCAUGCUCUGCGGGCUGACGAGGUAGGGCAGGUGGAACCACAGCUUCACUCCUUUGUUCGGUGUGUCAGAGCGUUUCUGCUGCUUUUGAGUGCUCCACUUUCUGUUUGCUGAGAGCAAUGGACUAUUUUCAUUUUUGUCCAGAUGCUAAAACUUAAGAGACACAAACAAAGCACAGGUGGGAUAACCCUUGCUAUGUUCCUAAAAUAGUUAUUGAGGUAAUCCUAAUUAUAUCUUGAUUAGUUUUACUUCAUAAAUGGCUUAUGUCUGCUUUUAUA